rnacentral:rRNA from 1 species
UACGUAGGGAGCAAGCGUUGUUCGGAUUUACUGGGCGUAAAGGGCGCGUAGGCGGCAAAUUAAGUCAGCUGUGAAAUCUCCGAGCUUAACUCGGAACGGUCAGCUGAUACUGAUCUGCUAGAGUGCGGAAGGGGCAAUCGGAAUUCUUGGUGUAGCGGUGAAAUGCGUACAUAUCAAGAGGAACACCUGAGGUGAAGACGGGUUGCUGGGCCGACACUGACGCUGAGUGCGCGAAAGCCAGGGGAGCAAACGGG